GCAAACUUGGUCAUUUAGAGGAAGUAAAAGUCGUAACAAGGUUUCCGUAGGUGAACCUGCGGAAGGAUCAUUAACAAAAAGGAUACAUUGGCAAACAUUGGCAAUGAGAGUUCAGAAAGUCACCUUGUGUGCAUCCAUUGAAAUGUGGGCUUUGGGGAGGACGGAGGGGGGGUUAUUUUUUUAUUUCUCCCUCUUCUCUCCCCAGGGUUUUCAACCUUUUCAAAUCUACGCUUCUAAAAAUGAAUUGUUUUAUUUUUUAAAAUGAAAAAAUAAAUACAACUUUCAACAACGGAUCUCUUGGCUCUCGCAUCGAUGAAGAACGCAGC
rnacentral:misc_RNA from 1 species